rnacentral:rRNA from 1 species
AACGAACGCUGGCGGCAUGCCUAACACAUGCAAGUCGAACGAGAUCUUCGGGUCUAGUGUCGCACGGGUGCGUAACGCGUGGGAAUCUGCCCUUUGGUUCGGAAUAACAGUUGGAAACGACUGCUAAUACCGGAUGAUGACGAAAGUCCAAAGAUUUAUCGCCAGAGGAUGAGCCCGCGUAGGAUUAGCUAGUUGGUGUGGUAAAUGCUCACCAACGCGACGCUCCUUAGCUGGUAUGAGAGGAUGAUCAGCCACACUGGGACUGAGACACGGCCCAGACUCCUACGGGAGGCAGCAGUGGGGAAUAUUGGACAAUGGGCGAAAGCCUGAUCCAGCAAUGCCGCGUGAGUGAUGAAGGCCUUAGGGUUGUAAAGCUCUUUUACCCGGGACGAUAAUGACAGUACCGGGAGAAUAAGCUCCGGCUAACUCCGUGCCAGCCGCCGCCGUAA